GUCUUCUUGAUUCUUGCUCCGCUUCCUCGGCGCCAUGAAAGCAAACCUGAAACCCUAGAAAUGAAAAGAAAGAGCUGCUUUCUGGAAGAAAGUGAAUUUAUGGGGUUCGAAGUGUUGGAGUUCCAGUGAGAGGGUGUGUGUACUUGACCGUUGGUUUGCAGUGAUAUACAGAGGUUGGGUUGGGGGUUUUUCCCGCGCUCUGGGACGGCGGUGGGAUUUUGAAGAGACGGUGGAGAUGGAUUGGGAGUGUGAGGAAGGAUCGUGGCCGUCGAGUGGGUGGUCGUACGACGCCCACGCAGUUCCACUUGGUUUCUU
rnacentral:misc_RNA from 1 species